rnacentral:tRNA from 1 species
GGGCUAUAGCUCAGCGGUAGAGCGCCUCGUUUACUUCCAUUUAAAUGACUAUACUAUCACAUAUAAAUAUAAAC